AUGCUCGCUUCAGCAGCACACACACUAAAAUUGGAAUGAUAUAGAGAAGAUUAGCAUGGCCCCUGCACAGAGAUGACACGCAAAUUCAUGAAGUAUUCCAUAUUUUU
rnacentral:snRNA from 1 species